rnacentral:rRNA from 1 species
AAUAGAUACCCGGGUAGUCCACGCCGUAAACGAUGAGUGCUAAGUGUUAGAGGGCUUCCACCCUUUAGUGCUGCAGCUAACGCAUUAAGCACUCCGCCUGGGGAGUACGGCCGCAAGGCUGAAACUCAAAGGAAUUGACGGGGGCCCGCACAAGCGGUGGAGCACGUGGUUUAAUUCGAAGCAACGCGAAGAACCUUACCAGGUCUUGACAUCCUUCGCUACCUCUAGAGAUAGAGGGUUCCCCUUCGGGGGACGGAGUGACAGGUGGUGCAUGGUUGUCGUCAGCUCGUGUCGUGAGAUGUUGGGUUAAGUCCCGCAACGAGCGCAACCCUUGACCUUAGUUGCCAGCAUUCAGUUGGGCACUCUAAGGUGACUGCCGGUGACAAACCGGAGGAAGGUGGGGAUGGACGGUCAAAUCAUCAUGCCCCUUAUGACCUGGGCUACACACGUGCUACAAUGGAUGGUACAAAGGGUCGCGAAACCGCGAGGUGGAGCCAAUCCCAAAAAACCAUUCUCAGUUCGGAUUGCAGGCUGCAACUCG